UGUUAUAUAAAUUUUGGCCUACUUUCACUUUAGACAGACUUUAGUGAAAACAAACAUGGCUUACAAAGCGGAAUCACCUUAAAAGAAAUUCGGAUAAAGUAAAUCGGAUAUGUUUGACCUAAAAACAUGGACUUCAAAGGGUGGAAAAGAAACAAACAUAGACUAGCAAUUAUGAUAAUCGAAACAAACUGGCUUAUUCAGUAAAAGCUGAGUUAGAUGACGCUGCUCUUUUCAAGGAAUCAUUUCAGAACAUUGUAGGUCUUGCAAAAGAGGUGACAACAAUUAAAGAGUAUGCAUUUGCGUUAAUCAAAAGCAUAAACGAACUGAAAAACAGAUAACUUGCCAACUUUUGCAGCAAUUUAAAACGCUUUAAGAUUAACAAUGAAUAUUUCCUAAUUAAGCUUGUUGAGUCGCAAGGAUCAGAGAGGGUUAAUGCAGACGGAACAAUUCAGAUAAAAAUCGGCUUGACGAAAUGGGUGAGGCAACUAUCAAAGGGUUUAGAUGUUGGUAUUUUUAUCCGUACGAUGAAGGACGAAGAAGUUAUAAACGAUACAAUGAAACGCAAAAUUCAGCAAGAAUACACGUGCGAAGAACAAAUGCGUGCCCUUAUCUUACACAUGAUAAUGAAACAAAAUUCUACCUGUGAAAAAUGUGUCGAUGUUUGAGAAAUUUAUCACCACAACUCGCCGAUCUGAUAGAAGACAAUAACACAGAUGGAACUGAAGUUGAAAAGUACCUGAAACAAUAUGAAGAAGAAAAUGUGAUUCGGAUCUUAAAAGAAAUUUUUACAGAAGAUAUUGAUAGUUCUGUGUCAACUGACCAAGUUCAUAUUUGUUUAGAACAGAGGAUGGAUGUGACACUAGAUUUAAAGAUGAUAAGUAACUGCGUUUUGAAAUGUUUUACGACUGCAAGGCACCAAGAGAAUGAUAAUAGGUGAACAUUUUAUUAUAAGUGUCGUGUGAAA